UGGAGUUUGGGUGGAGAUUAUUCUUUUGCACAGUUUGAAGAAACUGGAGAUGCUGCAGACAGAGAAACAGUCCAUCCUGGUCCUUCUGUUACUCACAACUUGUCGAGAGUCCUUCUGGAACACGUCUUCUUACUGAGGUGAAGGUGGAAAGUGUGUGUGAGCUGA